rnacentral:rRNA from 1 species
UACGUAGGGCGCAAGCGUUGUCCGGAAUUAUUGGGCGUAAAGGGCGCGUAGGCGGCCUGGCAAGUGGAAGGUGAAAUCCCUCGGCUUAACCGAGGAACUGCCCUCCAAACUGCUUGGCUUGAGUCCGGGAGAGGUGAGUGGAAUUCCCAGUGUAGCGGUGAAAUGCGUAGAUAUUCGGAAGAACACCGGUGGCGAAGGCGGCUCACUGGACCGGCAUUGACGCUGAGGUGCGAAAGCGUGGGGAGCAAACAGG